CCACAAAACAGUUUAACUGCAAUGUGAUUAAUGAGUUCUAAGAGAGCAAUGAGUUCUAAGAGAGCAAUGAAAAGCGAUGCUGCACUGCGGGUGUAAACCUGUUGUUCCUAAAUGAUGAACGGUGAUUGGCCACAAGCAGCAGGGAGGGAGCCCCAGCCCCCAGAGGUGCCUUGCUGAAGGAAGAUCUCCAUCAGAUACCUUGAGCACCAGGUGCUCAACAUGGGAGUGUCAUUUGAGAAGGAGCAAAGAUUUCAUAAGUGGGGGUGGGAUCAGGAAUCUGGAUAGGGUAUAAGAAGUGGGAGCAAUUUAGGGCUCUUCAUCCAACUUUGGCGCAUUCGAACUCUCUUGUUUAUCACCAACCAAGGUUGCCACCAGAAGACCUUUGGAAUGUCCAAGCCCAAGACUCAGUUGCAACAACUUGUUGAACAAUUCAUUGACAUCUACUACACGUACUCUGGGAAUUCUUCAAGCAUCGACAAGCAGGCAUUUAAGAAGAUGAUGGACGAGCAGUUUCCUGACAUUGAUGAGUCUCCCUUGAAGAAACAAAAGAGAGACCAGCUCUUCGACGAGGCAGACAUAAACAAGGACGGCAAACUGAGUUUUGAUGAAAUGGGGCACCUGAUUGCAAAAUUCAUUGCUGCAACACAUGACAGACUCCGCAAGUAAGAAGGGCGUCCCCUUGGCCACUGGAAAAAUGGCUCAGAAAAUCCUCCAGGAGACGGUGCUCAGGGGCGCGUUGGAUACUAACCUUCCAAACACACACAAACCCCUUUCCACAUUCACUAGCUUGGAAUGUAAUGCUUUGGCAAUAGAAUACGAAAUAAACAUCUAACUUGGAAAUCAUUUGGUGUCUUAUUUCAACCUCAUUCUGAUAAACUGCAAUUCUGACAAAUUGCAAUACACAGGGUUGGGUUGUUUUUGAGCCAGAACUCACCAAAAGUUAGGGGGGCACCAUUGCCAUUAUAAGAGAUCAAGUGAGGCACUCAUGGUGAGUUCCGGCACUUCAUUUCCUGGAAAAAUAGCAUGGAUGAUAUAUGCUUUCAGCCUAACUAUCUGCCAAAACUCGAAAAACUGGAAAAUAUAAAGAUAAAUAUCCCAAGUGGAUAUAAUUCUGGAGACCUAGUAAACAUGGUGAAAUUGACUAAUACAGUUGGGGCAGAGAGGGUGGGCAAUUUUGGAACUGUUUUCUUCAGAAAUGGAGAGUUUUCAUUAUGUGUUGGUGCAACAGAGUGCAAGGAAAUGGUUGUUGUUAAAUGUAAAUCCAUAGAUGCUGCCAGGGAUACUCUUAAAUAUCUUGGUGUGUACACCUUCAAUUUAUUCUGUUAGCACAAGGAUCUCAACUUGCAUAACAGAACUUUACCUUUCUUGUCUCCCUAGGCUCUCCACCCCUCCAAAAGGGUUGGGGAAGCUCUCAGAACAGAGGGAUGAUGGAAUAGGGUGUGUGCGGGUGGUGCUGUGGUCUGAAUCACAGAGCCUAGGGCUUGCCGAUCAGAAGGUUGGCUGUUCGAAUCCCCGCGACAGGGUGAGCGGGAAGAUUGCCAAAUGUCGAAGCCCAAGACUCAGUUGCAAUACCUGGCUGAUCAAUACAUUGAAUUGUAUCUCACUUAUGCUGGGAGUUCUGGCACCCUUGACAAGCAGAAAUUUCAGAAGAUGAUGGACGAGCAGUUUCCUGACAUUGCUGAGAAAGAGCAAGCAAAAGACAAACUCUUCCAGGAUUUGGAUGCAAACAAAGACAACCAACUGAGUUUUGACGAAGUGAGCCGGCUGAUCUCAAGAUACCUUAAUGAUACCCAUGAAAAGUUCAAGCAUCUGUAGAAAAGCGGGCUGAGAGUCAGACAAUGAAAAGAAGACCCAGCAAAUUCUCCAGGGGCUGUUUUCAGGGGUGUGUUGGAUACCAACCUCCCCCCCCCCUCCAACCCCUGCUCACAUUCUCUUGUUGAGAACCAAAUACUUUGGCAAUAAAAUAAGAAAUAGAUGUUUAACCUGGAAAUUCUCAGAUGUGUCCUUUCACUCCAAAAAGAACCCUGUGAGGUAGGUUAGGCAAGGUGUGAGAGUUCAUGGCUGAGUGGGGACUUGAAGCCUGAUCUCCCAGAGUCUAGUGUAACCCUCUAAUCACUACACCACACUGUCUCUCUCAGUUCAACCCUGCAAUUCUAUGAUUCUUCUGGAUCAGGAUUAAGGUGUCCAUGAGUCCUAUGUAGGACAGGGCAGCUCCCCAUUUGAAUGCUAUUUGUUAUUUAGCUCAUUUAAGUGUUGUUCAUAUGACUUACACAUAUAUCUACUUAUAUAUUGAAUAAUUGCAUUAUCUGCUUACCCAAGUUUCUAAUGCAAACAUGCAACAUGUAUUGGGGACUAUCUUAAAAGAAUGUAAUUUUGCCAUGAUGCAGUAAGAGAAGUGGAAAUAACGCCAGGAUGUGCACUCCUGACAAACCUGUCUGUUAUUUUUGUUUUUUAGUUAGUUAAAGAUCUGGCCUUAAAUUGCAAUACAAAGGGGUUGUUUUGAGCCAGAACUCACCAAACGUCAGGGGGGCACCAUUGCCAGUACAGUCAUACCUCGGUUUAAAUACGCCUCGGUUUGAGUAUUUUCAGUUUAAGUACUCCGCAGACCUGUCUGGAACGGAUUAAUCCACUUUCCAUUACUUUCUUUUAUAAAAAAUAUAUUUAUUAAGAAUUUUCUGAAACAACAAGGCAUACACACCCACACAACAGAGAAAAAAACCAAUAUAAAAACAAAAGCAAAAUACAAAAUACAAAAAAAGCCACAAUACAAAAAUUACAAAAAGAAAACAAAAAUUCUAACUUAUAAAACUUAUCUCCAAUCUAAUCAGCAUUUGAGGAAUGUUGGAUGGUAUGCAAUGUUUUUACGGGAUCAGAGGCCUUUCAGGAAAUACCUAAAAUCAAAUAUUAAGCCAAGUGAUGCCCAGAAACUGGAUGAGGCCAAAGGGAACGGGGCAGUGAAAAGCUAGUUUUGCAAGACUUUGCUUCAGCCGCAUUCCCUCUAGUUCCCUUUCCUUGUAGUUGCCCACUUAGACAUGUAGAAGCAAGUUGAAUGAAUGAAUGAAUAAUUUAUUACGGUCGGAGACCAGCUUUUAAAACACGUUUGGGGGAACAAUCCCAAAGGACAAAACAUACAUAUAAAACUUCAUUCAAUUAUAAAAUUAAUGUUUAUAAAUACAGUGAGCAUACGGUACUUAAAACUUUAAGAUAAGCUGCCGCAGAGAACUGGCCUUGGGUCGUUUGGAGAACCAGAUUUAAGGACUUUCAAAUGAACGAGUUUGGCUCAGGGGAAGGUCUAUAUCUGCAGAUCUGAACACGGAAUCUGGCGACCGUCUGGGUUGUCUUCCGAUCUUUGCCUAACAGGAGCAGGAUGUAUAUUUGCUUUUCCGUGAGCUCAGCUAGCCUCACCAGAGUGGAAUCAAGGAUCUCUUUAUAGAAGGGACAUCUAAAAAAUAGAUGCUCUGGGCUCCCCCCCAUGAACAGGCGCAGAGUCUUUGGGCGUAUGGGACAUGCCAGUCUAUGUGUUUUAGCAGGGUCUCCUCUGGGUAUAAGUUGGCUGCAUAUGGAAAUCAUUCCAACCGUUGCAGCAAAGAAUGUACCCAGCACCCAUAUUGCGCAAGAAUGCAUGCUGUUUUCAGAAACUUCGGGCCCCACCUAUAUCCACAAAACAGUUUAACUGCAAUGUGAUUAAUGAGUUCUAAGAGAGCAAUGAAUUCUAAGAGAGCAAUGAAAAGCGAUGCCGCACCGCAGGUGUAAACCUGUUGUUCCUAAAUGAUGAACGGUGAUUGGCCACAAGCAGCAGGGAGGGAGCGCCAGCCCCCAGAGGUGCCUUGCUGAAGGAAGAUCUCCAUCAGAUACCUUGAGCACCAGGUGCUCAACAUGGGAGUGUCAUUUGAGAAGGAGCCAAGAUUUCAUAAGUGGGGGGUGGGAUCAGGACUCUGGAUAGGGUAUAAGAAGUGGGAGCAAUUUAGGGCUCUUCAUCCAACUUUGGCGCAUUCGAACUCUCUUGUUUAUCACCAACCAAGGUUGCCACCAGAAGACCUUUGGAAUGUCCAAGCCCAAGACUCCGUUGCAACAACAUUUUGAACAAUUCAUUGACAUCUACCACACGUACUCUGGGAAUUCUUCAAGCAUUGACAAGCAGGCAUUUAAGAAGAUGCUGGACGAGCAGUUUCCUGACAUUGAUGAGUCUCCCUUGAAGCAACAAAAGAGAGACCAGCUCUUCGACGAGGCAGACAUAAACAAGGACGGCAAACUGAGUUUUGAUGAAAUGGGCCACCUGAUGGCAAAAUUAGUUGCUGCAACACAUGACAAACUCCGCAAGUAAUAAGGGCCACUGGAAAAAUGACUCAGCGAAUCCUCCAGGAGACGGUGCUCAGGGGCGCGUUGGAUACUAACCUUCCGAACACACACAAACCCCUUUCCGCAUUCACUAGCUUGGAAUGUAAUGCUUUGGCAAUAGAAUACGAAAUAAACAUCUAACUUGGAAA